GACGAACGCUGGCGGCGCGCCUAACACAUGCAAGUCGAACGAGAGAGAGGAAGCUUGCUUCCUUAAUCGAGUGGCGAACGGGUGAGUAACGCGUGAGGAACCUGCCUCAAAGAGGGGGACAACAGUUGGAAACGACUGCUAAUACCGCAUGAUGCAUGAUCAGGGCAUCCUGGACAUGCCAAAGAUUUAUCGCUGAAAGAUGGCCUCGCGUCUGAUUAGCUAGUUGGUGAGGUAACGGCCCACCAAGGCGACGAUCAGUAGCCGGACUGAGAGGUUGACCGGCCACAUUGGGACUGAGAUACGGCCCAG
rnacentral:rRNA from 1 species